rnacentral:rRNA from 1 species
GACUCUAGCGAGACUGCCGGUAAUAAACCGGAGGAAGUGGGGAUGACGUCAAAUCAUCAUGCCCCUUAUGACCUGGGCUACACACGUGCUACAAUGGUUGGUACAACGAGUUGCGAGUCGGUGACGGCGAGCUAAUCUCUUAAAGCCAAUCUCAGUUCGGAUUGUAGGCUGCAACUCGCCUACAUGAAGUCGGAAUCGCUAGUAAUCGCGGAUCAGCACGCCGCGGUGAAUACGUUCCCGGGCCUU